GGAGAAGGAGGUUAUGCCCCCUUCUAUUUCUACAUCUAGGAUCCGACUUGUAUCAUUGAUAAUAAUAGGAACUGAACCAUUAUGACAAAGAAAAGUUUGAUUCAUAGGGAGAAGAAGAGGCAAAAAUUAGAAGAAAAAUAUCAUUUGAUUCGUCUAUCCUCAAAAAAAGAAAUAAGUAAAGUUCCGUUGUAGAGUGA